rnacentral:sRNA from 1 species
GUUGGGUGUGGUAAUGCACACCUGUAAUCCCAGUGACUCAAGAGGCUGAGGUAGGAGGAUCACAAGUUCAAGACCAGCCUCAGUAAGUUAGCAGGGCGUUAAGCAAAUUAGUGAGACCCUGUCUCAA